rnacentral:rRNA from 1 species
GACGAACGCUGGCGGCGCGCUUAACACAUGCAAGUCGAACGGAAAGGCCUGCUUUCCCUUGUGGAUUGCGGGUACUCGAGUGGCGAACGGGUGAGUAACACGUGAGUGAUCUGCCCCCAACUUGGGUAUAAGCCUGGGAAACUGGGUCUAAUUCCCGAUAGGACUGCAGGGUGGUGCCUGUGGUGGAAAACGAUUUUCUAGUGGUUGGGGAUGAGCUCGCGGCCUAUCAGCUUGUUGGUGGGGUAAUGGCCUACCAAGGCGGCGACGGGUAGCCGGCCUGAGAGGGUGGACGGCCACAUUGGGACUGAGAUACGGCCCAGACUCCUACGGGAGGCAGCAGUGGGGAAUAUUGCACAAUGGGCGGAAGCCUGAUGCAGCGACGCCGCGUGGGGGAUGACGGCAUUCGGGUUGUAAACUCCUUUCGACCGCGAGGAAGCCACCUGGUUGGAAGGGUGGUGACGGUAGUGGUAGAAGAAGCACCGGCUAACUACGUG